GGAGACGCAGAGUUAGUUGACAUUCCUGAGCAGUUUGGUCUUUUCCCUAGGGCUGACUUCAGAGCAACCUGUGGAACUGCUGGAUUCUAUCCCCACUUGGACUCUUCCUUUUGAACAGCUAGUGAUUGACAAAGAGGUGGUUGGUUUCUGGAUGUCUGCGGCAUGCACGCAGUGAAAUCAAGAAAAGAUUAUCCUCCACAAGCGCUGGAGCUGCAGCAUAAGUUCUAUAUCAAGAGAGGAAGAGCCAGGGCCAAGCACCACUGGGCAGGAGCUGGGCCUCAGGGCAUAUUCCCUGGGGAGCCUGGUGGGAGACCCUGGAGCUUGCCUUCCUCUAUGAUUCAUCCUCUUUGGCCUCCACCAUCGAGUUCCUCCACCCAACAGGAGAUGGACCUAAUAUUGGGAAGGUAG
rnacentral:lncRNA from 1 species